CUUCAAUGCUAAAUUCACUUAUUAGUUCUAAUAAUUUUGUUAUAGAUGCCCAUCUUAUGUAUACAACAACAUUGUCCAUAAAUAAAGACAGUCUACUUCCUAUCUUCCAUUUAAUUAUUAUUCCAGUUAUUUAUUUUUUUAAUUUAUUGCACUGACUAGGACAUUUGGUAAAAUGUCAAAUAGAAGUGGAGAGAGUACACAUCCUAGCCUUGUUCACAGUCUUAGCAGAAAAGUAUUAAAAUUUCACAAAUAAGAAUUAUGUUAGUUGUAGGUUUUUUAUAAUUGCUUUUUACAAGAUUGAGAAAAUUAAAUUCUACUCCUACUUUGCCAAGAGCUUUAUAAUGAUUGGAUAAUGGAUUUAUUCAACUGCUUUUGAUUGUUGAGAUGAUCAUUUUUCUUUACUAUUUUGUUAAUGCUGUGAAUCACAUUAAUUCAUUUUUGAAAGCCACCCAAAAUAGCAUUACUGAGAUAAACCUUACUUGUUGAUAAUGUAUUGUCAUAUGUAAUUUUUUAACUAAUUUGUGUUGUUAAGAAGUCUUGAAUUUAUUUUCAGAAGAGUAAUUGGUCUGUACUUUUCUUUUAAUGUUGAUGUCAGGUUUUGGUGUCAGGGUUAGACUGGAUUUACAAAAUGUAUUGAAGAGUGUUCCCCUUUCUCUAUUUUCUGAUAUAUUUUACAUGAGAUUGGUUUUAUGUGUCCCUUAAAUAUAUGAUAGAACUCACAAUCGAAACCAUCUUGCCUGGAUUUUCUUUCUGGGAGAUUUUUAUUUUAAAAUUUAAUUAUUUCAGCAAAUAUAGGAUUACUUACUUUUCUGUUUCAUCAUGUGUAAGUUUUAGUAAGUUGUAUUUUAAAAGAUGUUUGAGUAUGUCAUCUAAAUUUGUCAAAUUUAUUUGGAUAAAUUUGCUUAUAUACUCCCUUAUUGUCUGUCAGUUGUCAUACUGUGGUGGCUGCAUGUGGCUGUGGUGCUGAAAGCUAUGCCACUGGUAUUUCAAAUACCAGCAUGGUCACUCAUGGUGGACAAGUUUCAGCAGAGCUUCCAGACUAAGAUAGAUUAGGAAGAAGGACUUGGCCAUAUGCUUCUGAAAAAAUUGGCCAUGAAAAUCCUAUGAAUAACAGCAGAACAUUGUCUAAUAUAGCCCCAAUAGCAUAUAAAUCUAUACAACUUAUUUUAUGCAUUGCUUUAACUGCAUCCAACGAUAUUGACAUAUUUCAUAUUCCCUAACAUUCACUUUGAAAUUCCCUGUUUCCCUGUGAUUCUUCUUUGACUCAUGGUUUAUUUAGAAGAAUGUUAUUUGGUUUCCAGAUAUUUGAGGAUUUUCCAUAUAUCUUUUUGUUAUUGACUUCUAGUUUAAUUCAGUUGCAGUCAGAGAAUAUGCUCUCUGUAAUUUCAACCCUUUAAAAGCCCUUGAGACUUUGUUUAUGGCUCAGCAUAUUAUCUUUGAUGACUGUUUCGUGUGUACUUGAAAAUAGGUCUAUUCUGCAGUUGUUGGAUGUAUUGUUCUAUAAAUGUCAAUUAGCUCAUGUUACUUGAUAGUAUUGUUCAAAUCUUUUAUAUUUCUAUUUCUUAAUUACUGAGAGAAGAACAUUGCAAUCUCCAGCUACAAUUGUGGAUUUAUCUAGUUUUUUCAUUAGUUCUAUAAGUUUCUGUUUAAUGUAUUUUGAAACUGUUAUUAAGUACACACACAUUUACAAUAGUUAUAUAUACUUGAUUAAUUAGUCUUUUUAUUAUUAUGGAGUAAUCGUCCUUAUUUCCUUAAUAUUCCAAUUCUGUAAGUCUACUUUGAUAUUAACAUAUUCCCUCUAGCUUUUACAUUUACUAUUUGCAUGGUAUAUAUUUUUUCCAUCCUCUUACUUUCACCUUCUAUGCAUCUUUAUAGCUAAAAUGAAUCUCUUACAGAUGGAAUAUAGUUGAUUUUUCUUUUUCAUUCAGUCUGAGAAUAUCUGCCUUAUAAUUGGGGUGUAUAGUCUAUAUACAUUUAACAUAAUUUUUUACAUAGUUUUGUUUAUGUCUACCAUUUUAGUAUUUGUCAUCUCCUUGUCCCCUCUGAUUUUUUCCCUCUGACUUAUUUUAUGUUAAAUGAAUAUUUUGGUGUUCCAUAUAAUUCAUUUAUUGACUUUUUAAGCUAUAUCUCUUUUCAUUAUUAAAUGCUUCCUAACUUAAUAUAGUCUUCUUAGAGUUAAUAUUUUACAUAAAAUAAGAUUAAUAGAGGGAAUAAAAUGUACUCUAAUAUUUAGCUACAUUUUCACCUUUUCCUGUGCUUUUUAUUCUUUUCCAUAGAAUUGAGUUUCUAUUUGCUGUUAGAGUGGAGCCAUUUCAGUUUUGCCCUUAGUCCUAACGUGCAUCCCUCACUCUGAGAUGUGUUCUUUACUCUAGAGAAUUGCCUUACUUCACUGUAUGGUCUUUAUUCUUAAGGCUUGCCUUUACAUGGUCUCUCUACUCUGACUGGGCCAGAACUCUAAUAUCUCCCAGUCUUAGGCAAUCUUUGGUGUUUAUGUCCAGCUCUUAAACCCAAAACAACCAUUCUCUGUUUAGCAUUGCAGAGUCAUGCUUUGUGCACGCACAUCUCAGUCUUUGAUCAAGAAUUGCACUGGAUGCUCACGUAGAUUUUUACACUCCUCCCUACUUACCUCCCACUUCUAGCUUCCUCUUCCCUGGUAACAUGCUUUACAAAUUCCAGAUGCUUCAGCAACCAUUAUCUCCCAUGUCUGCACCUUCAAGUUAGUUUCUUAACUACUCUUCUUGGCUUCUAUCUCCUUUAUUGUGGCAGAAAGUAUGAGUGAACGUGGGGCGAGUCUCAUGUGGUUGUUUUCUUUCAAGGAUCACAGUCGAGUUCUCUGGUUGAUCAAUAUGUAAAAACAGUUGUCUUAUGUAUUUUGUUCAAUUUUAUAGUAAUUUACAGUAGGAGGGUGAGUCCAGUACCAGAUACUCCAUUAUGGCUGGAAACAGAAUUCCCAGUGAUUUAAUAUUUUAAAAUAAAUAUGGUGAGUUCAAAAUUAUCCACAGAAUAAGAUGACUUUCAUAUUUUUUAUUUCAAUAUGAAUUUUGAGUUCCAGAGCAUCAGAUACAGUUAUAAGGGGCAUGAUACUAUGAACAACGAUAGACAUACCUUUGAGACUGUGCCCUGCAGAUGAAUGUCAUCUGUCACAUGGAUUAUGAAGAGGAGGUUGAGAGCUGUUCCUCUAGAGGGAGCCAGAGAGUUGCUGUGAUGUUGCUCUGUCUUAUUCCUAUUAGGAAUACAUCCUAAAUUAUCUGUAGAAACAUGAGAAAUAAGCUAUCUAGUCUUCUAAUGUUAUUGCCCACCUAUCACAGUUCCAGUGUUCCCACUGCAGUUGCUUAUUUUGAGUUCUGUGGAUCUUUUCAGGGAUUAAGUGUACUAUCACAAUAAAUGGAAGUUGGAAGGCAAAUUUACAUUUUCAAUAUAUAAUUUAUUAUACAUUAGAGAAGUGAACCCCUAAAGGACCAAUAACUAAGCACCCUCAAAGUCCAAGUCUCAAGACUGGUUUUUUAUGCAGUUGGUUGUUAAAUCUUCAUCAUGCUGCAGCAUGAUCAUCCUCUACUCCUAGCUUUCUUCUCCAUUUUCAGCUCCAUGGAACAUCAUUCCUACUUAUACCUGGGUCCAUUGUCUAAUUGUUGAUUUCAUUGCCAUUUUCUUAUUUCAUGGAAAAUGAUAUGCUCAUAGCAAUACUAAAUAAUUUGUUCAUUCAACCAGUAGUAUCAUAAGGUGAGUAUCUUCCAGCCACUCAUCUAAAUGUUGGAGACAGAGCAGUGAGCACAAAGUGAAGGUCUCUGCUCUUCUGAAAUUCAUAGUCUAGUGGAAUCACCUUAACCCAGAAACUAUACCACUAUCAAUUUGCAACAGAUUGGAAGGCUAACUAGGAGUGACAGAGAGAGGAAUUUCCUCCCUGGGGAAUCUGCAGCAGUGUUAUAAUUUACUUUCCUGCCUCCCUAAGGUGUGCAUUUCUUCUGUGAACCAAUGUUAGUGGCAAGCACUUUGCAAUAUAUGGGACUGGUAAAGGUACUCUUUAUGCUUUUAUUCUAAUUAACCACUUCGAUAAACAUGUUCAGGAGAGCUUCUGAGCUGACAUAAGCCUCGGUUGUUCUAUAGCCACACAGUCCAUGUUUUGAAACGCACUGAGGCAUAUUAUAUGUCCAUCAAAGUGGAUACUUUCACCUGCUAUGGGUAUACUCCCCACGGCUAUUUUGGUCCCUUCACAUUCUUUUUGAGUUUAAAUAAUUUGGAGCUUAGCAAAAUUGAAAACUUUCUUAAGACACGCUAUAUCUUCAACUUCUUGAUAAGAAAUUCUCUUAUGUAUAGAAAAUUCUAACAAUUUGAGAUGUACGUGCACCUUAACACCCAAGUAAUCUUACGCUACUUCAAGACAGGCAGAUGACAAUGUUUAAUUUGUGUACUAUUUUUAGGAAUGAAAUACUCCACAUGAGUGAAAUUUCCAAAUGACUUAUAUUUAUCAGAAUAAACUUUGAAAAUAUUUAACUACUAUUUGAGAGAAAUAUAUCAAAAUUAUAUUUUAAUAAACAAUGCAGUGAAUAUAUCAUACUUCAUUAAUUCCCUUUGAGCAUUUAUUGUGAUGCUAUUUUAUAUGAAUGUACAAGACCAGAUGUCCAUGAGGCGCGCUCAGUUGUUAAUGUUGCUGUUGCUUUUCUAACACCGUUUUUUCCUCCUAUGGAGUAUUAAAGAAAUAAUUUUUUUUUUCCAAAGAUUGGCACCUGGGCUAACAACUGUUGCCAAUCUUUUUUUUUUUCCCCUGCUUUAUUUCCCAAACCCCCCGACGCAUAGUUGUAUAUCUUAGUUGCAGGUCCUACUAGUUGUGGGACAGAAAUAAUUGAUUUUAUAAUCUUACAAAGACAAUAGAAUAGUUAAGGUCCAUGGGUUUGUGACAUGUUUUUGCUCAUUGUAGAGCAGAACAUUUAAAACAAUUAUUUCUUGGUCAAGCAUGUUUGUGUUUUGAUUGUUUGCUGUAACACUGACCUCUAGGCGUAUAUGAUUAUAUUUACAAAUAUAUUAUAUUUAAAUAUAUGCAUAUUAUUAAAUAUAAAAAGGCUAUAAUUACAGACCAUUGUUGUUUACAUUUAAGUGAAAAAUAAAACUAAAGUUACAUUCUUCAAAAAAGCUACUUUUUAUAAACAGUAAUAAGAAUGUCAAAAGGAUUAAAGAAAAGUAGAACAGAUGUUAAUAUGCUCAUGCUAAGAUUGGCAUCCUUACCAUAUCAUUUUUAGAAAUCUAUCUUAAACUACAUAUUAGAUUCUAGAGAAUGUUUGUCAUUUCACUAACAUAAAAAUAAUAAUUUUUCUCAUCUAUGUGCUCAGAGUGAAAUGGGGCAAUGGAUUACAGCAAUUGUUAGGAAACCAAACUUCAGGGCACAUUACAGUUGACAAUGGGUCAUCUUAAUUUUCAUAUCUUACCACAUGGAACUUAUUUUGGGGAACAUUAAAAAAUGUCCCUAGCCCAAUCUGUGUAGGGUAAUUAACUGGAUAUUUUCCCGUAGAAUGGUAGUGACCUACAAUAAAAUAGACCUAAGGAGGAAGAACUCAAACCUGAAAAUAUACGGUAAGUGUGAGUUACCAGCAGAACUCCACACAGGAAAUGACAGCAUCAGGUAGAACCCCCAAGAACAUUGUGUAUUUAUGUAUCCACCUUACUAACCAAACCAGAAGGUGACAAAUGAGUCCUUUGUUCAGUAUAACUCUUGGCAUUAGGAGAUACCUGAAUGCUCUGUCCAGCUGACCUGAAUCCCUCUUACUGGUUUUGUGUGUCCACACUGCAGCCUCUUCAUGUUAUCCGGUAAUAGUUCAUACCCACAACAUUCUUCAGAGCCUUACUCUUGGACCCCUGGGAACCACCUUCCUGGAAGCACCAUAGAGUUUACAUAGCCCUUGUGAAGGUCUGUAGCCAAUGACUGACUGAAUACAGGGUACAAAUGUCUGAUCCUUUUCCUGCCGGGGGACAAUACUCUGCAGUCCUUAAUCUCCAGAGUUCCCCAUGGGAUCAGGCUGAGGUUAGGAUGACACCUGAAACUGUGUUCUUGCUUAGUUUCUCCCUUCUCCCUACUUGAUGUCUCCCACGCCCUUCCCUGUUUCUCCUGGGAGUGUUCUCCUAAUAAAUCACUUGUAUACAACCCCUUGUCUAAGCAUCUGCUUCUGGGAAACCUGGCCUAUGACAAUGGUGGUAUAUUCUUAUCUACUCUUCCCAUGUUUUCCAUUCAAUGAUCCAAAAAAUAAUUUUUAACACCAUGCAGAGUGAUAGUUGUGAAAUGACCAAAAAAAUCAUGGUCUUGGGAAGGGGCAAGACUCUUUAGUUCUGACUGUCUUCAUUGACCAUGGAGGAGUCUAAGAACCAUUGUCAGAACUAAGAGUUAGGGAGAAGAGAGACAAACAGAAUACAAGUCAAUAAGGUAGAGAAAGAAUUCAGGUCACGAUUAAACAACUUUUGAGCAUCAUCAACACGUAGGCUUUCGUCUAGCCACAAGGAACGUGAUUCCUACCCAUGGAGUUUAUAUUUUAGUUGACAGAGAAAAGAGAGAAUUAUCAAACCAUUGUCAAGGGAAGAAGGAGACAUUUGUCCCUGGUGGGAGCCUGUUUCUUCUACUGCUUAUUGCUUCAUCUUCCAAGCAUGCAUUUCUUGGUCUGACUCUCGACUAAAUGCAACAUAAAUGCUGGCUCUCCUUGACUUCAUCUAUUAAGAUUUGGAUUCAGCUCAACCACAGCAUAGACAACCAAACUUCAUUCUGAAAUUUUAUUUCUAACACCCCCAUUGAAACACCAUUUCUAUAGAAACAACAGACACUAGUCUGUUUUCUCUCUUUCUCACUUAUAAAAUCUGAUCUCAAUCACUUACUGCUUUCUGUAUUCUCUUCCUUAGAGAUAUUUACGUAUUGAGUUUUCUCUAAAAAUAUUUAUACUGUAUAGAUGAGAUUGCAAGAAUCAUUUAGCCUGCAAGGGUGGACUCUUUUCUUAAAUCGGUGGCCUUUUCUUCAUUCCCAACUUCAUAGCAUGUGCUCUGACUUCAUGUGAUGUUAGUUUGCCGGCCAAAGGACCUCCUCCACAGACAUUUCAUAGAAGCCGGCUUCUCAGAGGUGACUGGGUCAGUAGCCGGUCAUUUAAAUAAUAACAAUAAAAGAUUAAAUUCUGCUCAUAAAAAUGUUGCAAAUACUCCUUAAACAAUUUAAAACUUUUAACAUAUGAAUAUAAAUUCAUAUGGCAAUUCUUAGAUGUAGAACCAAUGGCUUUUCUUUGACUAUCAGUCCAGGAUUAGAGUUCUAAUUCUUGCAUAAUCCACAUCCAUGAUGUAUUGUCCAAAAUUUUCAGUUUCACAGUUUUAAAUGAGAAAAAAAAAAAAAACCCUAGAGAAAUUUGAAAAGCAAUUGGAGUCCAAAAUUGUUUUAAUUUUUUAAAAGAUUUUAUUUUUUCCUUUUUCUCCCCAAAGCCCCCCAGUACAUAGUUGUAUAUUCUUCGUUGUGGGUCCUUCUAGUUGUAGCAUGUGGGACGCUGCCUCAGCGCGGCCCGAUGAGCAGUGCCAUGUCCGUGCCCAGGAUUCGAACCAACGAAACACUGGGCUGCCUGCAGCGGAGCACACAGACUUAACCACUCGGCCACGGGGCCAGCCCCAAAAUUGUUUCAAUUUUUGUGAAUCAUUUUUGCUCUUAUAUGUACCAACUCAAUUUUUUGUGACUAACAGUUAUUGGUCUGUGCAAGCAUUCAAUUUGUUUAUAGGCACAGCAAAAUUCUUUUUACUUUCAUUUUUGCAUACUAUUUUAUUUUAGUUAUUUUCCAUAGUUCGCGUGCUAUUUAAUUAAAUUACAUAAUUAUAAUAACAAGUUCAAAUGGCAUAAAAGGUUUGGGAACAAACAAUUAAAUUGAUGGUAAAAUAAUUUUUUGGUCAUUCUAGGGAUUAGCCAGGGAAUUAAAUGUUUCAUGGGAGUCAGUUUGCUUUACAGAAGGAAUUGAGAGGGUCAGUUAUUUUGGAAAAUUUCUUAUAUGGAGGUAAGUUAAGAUAGAUUCUAUGUGAGUAUGUGUCUGCAUACGUGGAAAAUAUGCUCCUGUAUAUUUGGAAAAUAAUGAGAUGAAUAGCACUAGGAACGAUUGUACUGGGGAGGAAGGCAUAUUCUUCUACCCUCUAGGUUAUUCUGGCCAAUCUAAGAAUUAAAUUGACAUGAGAUAGAAUAACAAGAGAAAAUUCAACAAAUUUAACAGCAUGUAUACAUGGGAUGAACCCAGGAAAACUGAGUAACUCACGAAAUGGCCAAUGCCACCACCUUCAAUACCAUCAUCAGCUAAAGACAAAAGAGAAUGUUGGGGGUAGUGGUUUGCACCUGCAAAAGAGAGGGAGGCAAUUCACAUGGAGAUGGAAAAGCAAAUAUUUCUUAAGCAAAUGUUUGUUAAACAAAUGUUUGCCAGACUUUGCAAAGACAAAGGGACAUGGGGAGGACUUUGAUUAAAUGGACCUUACUAGGUUCCUCCCUGUCUACCCUUAUAUUUAUCUAUGGUGAUAACUCCUUCCUGAAACAGGCCUUAUAACUUAAAUUCUUUUAGGCAGUCAGGGGGAAGGUCAAAGUUUUUUUCUGAGUCUUUUGUUUUUAAAAAAUAAUCAAGCCAAAGAGACACAUUUUAGGGUGGCAAAUUCAGAUCCCCCACAGCUACACAGAAAGAAGUGGAGCAGAACCACUAGGUAUAACAUUCUCUUAGAAAAAGUGAAUAAUUACUGGGAGCACUCCAGCUAAAACACGCAGAAAACCAAAGCUGUGCCAGUCUUUCUAAUCACGAGCUCCAGUUCAAAAAUAAAAUAUGAACCCAACACUAUUAUUUCUUCAUGAGAUUAUGGACACCAUCUCAGAGAAAGACUUGUCAUUUGUAUCUUGAGAUUAAAGUUCUUCCCAAGUUAUUUCUUAAAACCCCACAGUUACCAAACUAUGCAUUGUCUUCAUUGUAUCUCCUCUUGGGCUCUUUUGUUAACUUCUAAUUCUCCUGAUCAUUACAGCACAUUAAAUUCCUAAGCACCUGCCCUGAAAGAAUUGAUGAGAUUUCCUCAAUGAAGAAGACUAAGAUAGGAUAAGAACAUUGAGUGACUCUAUGUGCAUGUUGUGGGGUGGAUAAUAGGAAAGAAGAUCUAGAAAAAGGCUUAGAAAAGAAGAGGUGGAAAACCUGAGGCAUAAUUUUAUCUCUUUCCUAAUUUUGCUUGAGUGCUAACUAACUCCCCAGUUCUCUGUUCUGUAUGCCAACCAAUGAACUACUAGAUGGAGACGACAACUUUCAGAUAAUCCUGAUUUCAAUCUUCUAUUAUGGAGAAUAUCCAAUCAAAUUAAAAGUGAAACAGAUCAAAAUAAGCUUUGUUAAAAAAAAUUUUAUCUGUCAUUUUGAUGAAAAAAUACAUUUCUCCAUUAAAAUCAU
ensembl:lncRNA